CUUUGUCCUGCGACUUUCUGUCCGUUUACCAAUACUUAUUCCUUGUUAAGUUUUUUCAUAUCCAUUUACGAAUACUUAUAACGUGAUAAUUAAUUUUUCCGGAUGCUUUUUAUCCUAUUUUCAUAUCAAACAACCAUGUUACCCGUAGAACGGAGUUAAGUACAAAUUUAGGAAUUUAGUACUUAAAAUUUUCAACAACACAAUUUUACACUUUCAUUUACCUGGAUUUUUUUCUACGCUUCGAAGCCGCCACCCUAUAUCAAACUUAUCCAACACCUCGCAUGGCGUAUUCACGAUGUGGAGGGAUUGACAAUAUACAAUCAAAGUUAGCAAUAUACAGCAAGUUGCCAGCAAGAUGAAAAGAACAAUGCAGUUCAAAAGUCAAAAUGUGGAUAAGCUGCGGUACAAGGUCCUACUUUUGCAGAUUUUCAUAUUUUGCAUGAAUGAAUUUGAAGUUUAUAUCCUGGAGGGCAGAGAAAGAAAAGAAACACUUCAGUUUUCCUGCCUCUGAAGGAUAAAUGUAAAACAUCUUGUUUGAAGGAUUGGAAUUCAUCACUGAGAAUAGAAGGAGAAAACACAGAAACAAGACCAAAAUAAAUUCAAAGACAAAAGUCAGAUCAGUUAUUAUUUUCAUCACUCAGCCAAUGAAUUGCAGUUCUAUUAAAUAUCUAAAGAUAUUAAAACCACAAUAAUGACAAUGUUCUGUGCUGAAUGGCAAAAAAAGUGGACUAUACAUUACGAUCACACAAUGCUGGAUGAUAAGAAACUAUUAAUUUUUUGGGUGGAGGGAUAUCCUGAAAAAAAAAAUAGAUUUAUGUAAAA